rnacentral:tRNA from 1 species
GGCCUCGUAGCUCAGGGGAUAGAGCAGCAGCCUUCUAAGCUGUUGGUCGCAGGUUCGAAUCCUGCCGAGGUCG